rnacentral:rRNA from 59 species
AGAGUUUGAUCCUGGCUCAGGAUGAACGCUGGCGGCGUGCCUAAUACAUGCAAGUCGAGCGAACGGACGAGAAGCUUGCUUCUCUGAUGUUAGCGGCGGACGGGUGAGUAACACGUGGAUAACCUACCUAUAAGACUGGGAUAACUUCGGGAAACCGUAGCUAAUACCGGAUAAUAUUUUGAACCGCAUGGUUCAAAAGUGAAAGACGGUCUUGCUGUCACUUAUAGAUGGAUCCGCGCUGCAUUAGCUAGUUGGUAAGGUAACGGCUUACCAAGGCAACGAUGCAUAGCCGACCUGAGAGGGUGAUCGGCCACACUGGAACUGAGACACGGUCCAGACUCCUACGGGAGGCAGCAGUAGGGAAUCUUCCGCAAUGGGCGAAAGCCUGACGGAGCAACGCCGCGUGAGUGAUGAAGGUCUUCGGAUCGUAAAACUCUGUUAUUAGGGAAGAACAUAUGUGUAAGUAACUGUGCACAUCUUGACGGUACCUAAUCAGAAAGCCACGGCUAACUACGUGCCAGCAGCCGCGGUAAUACGUAGGUGGCAAGCGUUAUCCGGAAUUAUUGGGCGUAAAGCGCGCGUAGGCGGUUUUUUAAGUCUGAUGUGAAAGCCCACGGCUCAACCGUGGAGGGUCAUUGGAAACUGGAAAACUUGAGUGCAGAAGAGGAAAGUGGAAUUCCAUGUGUAGCGGUGAAAUGCGCAGAGAUAUGGAGGAACACCAGUGGCGAAGGCGACUUUCUGGUCUGUAACUGACGCUGAUGUGCGAAAGCGUGGGGAUCAAACAGGAUUAGAUACCCUGGUAGUCCACGCCGUAAACGAUGAGUGCUAAGUGUUAGGGGGUUUCCGCCCCUUAGUGCUGCAGCUAACGCAUUAAGCACUCCGCCUGGGGAGUACGACCGCAAGGUUGAAACUCAAAGGAAUUGACGGGGACCCGCACAAGCGGUGGAGCAUGUGGUUUAAUUCGAAGCAACGCGAAGAACCUUACCAAAUCUUGACAUCCUUUGACAACUCUAGAGAUAGAGC